GCGGAAGUAGCUCAGCGGUAGAGCAUCGCCUUGCCAAGGCGAGGGUCGCGGGUUCAAUUCCCGUCUUCCGCUCCA
rnacentral:tRNA from 1 species